rnacentral:tRNA from 1 species
GGUAAAAUGGCUGAGUAGAAGGCAUUGAACUGUAAAUUCAAACACAGAGAUAGUAUCUCUUUUUACCA